GACGAACGCUGGCGGCAGGCCUAACACAUGCAAGUCGAGCGCGCCUUUCGGGGCGAGCGGCGGACGGGUGAGUAACGCGUGGGAAUAUGCCCUUCUCUGCGGAAUAGUCCCGGGAAACUGGGGGUAAUACCGCAUACGCCCUGCCAUCGUGGUGAUGGCGGGGAAAGAUUUAUCGGGGAAGGAUUAGCCCGCGUUGGAUUAAGUAGUUGGUGGGGUAAUGGCCCACCAAGCCGACGAUCCAUAGCUGGUUUGAGAGGAUGAUCGGCCGCACUGGGACUGAGACACGGCCCAG
rnacentral:rRNA from 1 species